UACGUAGGGGGCAAGCGUUGUCCGGAUUUAUUGGGCGUAAAGAGCGUGUAGGCGGCCGUACAGGUCAGCUGUGAAAACUCGAGGCUCAACCUCGAGACGUCGGUUGAAACCGUACGGCUAGAGUCCGGAAGAGGAGAGUGGAAUUCCCGGUGUAGCGGUGAAAUGCGCAGAUAUCGGGAAGAACACCCGUGGCGAAAGCGGCUCACUGGACCACAACUGACGCUGAGGCGCGAAAGCUAGGGGAGCAAACAGG
rnacentral:rRNA from 1 species